GACGAACGCUGGCGGCGUGCCUAAUACAUGCAAGUAGAACGCUGAAGGAGGAGCUUGCUCUUCUGGAUGAGUUGCGAACGGGUGAGUAACGCGUAGGUAACCUGCCUGGUAGCGGGGGAUAACUAUUGGAAACGAUAGCUAAUACCGCAUAAGAGUAGAUGUUGCAUGACAUUUGCUUAAAAGGUGCAAUUGCAUCACUACCAGAUGGACCUGCGUUGUAUUAGCUAGUUGGUGGGGUAACGGCUCACCAAGGCGACGAUACAUAGCCGACCUGGGAGGGGGAUCGGCCACACUGGGACUGAGACCAGGCCCAGACUCCUACGGGAGGCAGCAGUAGGGAAUCUUCGGCAAUGGACGGAAGUCUGACCGAGCAACGCCGCGUGAGUGAAGAAGGUUUUCGGAUCGUAAAGCUCUGUUGUAAGGGAAGAACGAGUGGGAGAGUGGAAAGUUCACACUGUGACGGUAUCUUACCAGAAAGGGACGGCUAACUACGUG
rnacentral:rRNA from 1 species